GGAGUAGUAGCUCAGUGGUACAGCCCCCGCCUCUUAUGAGGGAAGACCUGGAUUCGAUUCCCGGCUA
rnacentral:tRNA from 1 species